rnacentral:rRNA from 1 species
UACGUAGGGUGCGAGCGUUAAUCGGAAUUACUGGGCGUAAAGCGUGCGCAGGCGGUUCGUUGUGUCGGCGGUGAAAGCCCCGGGCUUAACCUGGGAACGGCCGUUGAAACUGGCGGACUGGAGUGUGGCAGAGGGGGGUGGAAUUCCGCGUGUAGCAGUGAAAUGCGUAGAGAUGCGGAGGAACACCGAUGGCGAAGGCAGCCCCCUGGGCUAACACUGACGCUCAGGCACGAAAGCGUGGGGAGCAAACAGG